rnacentral:lncRNA from 1 species
CGUGACUUGUAGUCGUAUAGUCUAAAUUAAACCCAGAGCGCGCCGGCGUUAAUGAGCAUGGGCUUGAGCUCGCCGGCGAGGUGGAGGGACAUGAUCCUGUUGGUGCCGCCGACGAGCUUACCGCCGAUGAAGACGGCGGGGACGGCGGGGCCCCUACCGCCGAGCAUCUUGAGCAGGGCGCGCUCCAUCUCCUUGCCCCUGGGAUCACUGUCCAGCUCGUGAACCAGGGCGUUCACGCUCAGGUCCUGCAUCAGCUUCGUCACCGUGUGGCACAUGCAGCAGGAGCUCAGCGUGAACACAACCACCGCACGCUCCGACGCCAGCUUCAUCACGCGGUCGGCCAUUAAUUUGGUGAUCACAGAUUCACAGUUCGUGAGCUUGCACAAUU